CAAAAAAGUGAAAAAGUAUAUUUUAACAAAUCGCAUUUGACUAACUGGACGAAUAACUGAUGUUCCGUUAAACCCUGCUGACUGCCAUUGGCGAUUGCCAAGUAAGUUGAUCACAAGAUGUAACCAUAGAUGUAACAAAAUGGAUCUUAAUAUUAAAUUAAUACCAAACAGAAAACAAUAAACUUUCGGCAAAGAUGUAAUAGGUCACAAACAUGAGGUGCAAAAAUUUGUACACCCAACCCGGAUUUCGACAAUAAAUGUCUCUUCAGUGAUGUUAAUGACCGAAACGAUAUUUGGAAGAUAUAUCUACAAGUCUAAAUUGAAAACAACGUUCAAACCUAUGAUUGUCUGGAUAUAAACUGCAUUUUUUAUACGUGUGCAUGUAAAACAAAUUUCGUUGUAAAGGGGCCAAAUAUAUAUAAUAUAUAUAGUCAUCCGCACGGUAUUCAACAAUGAGAAAAACUAAUACCGUUUAUAGUCAGUUAUAAAAGGCCCGG
rnacentral:lncRNA from 1 species